rfam:Monodelphis domestica chromosome 2, whole genome shotgun sequence.
UAGAAUGUGGUGUAAAGGAAACACAUAGAAUUUUGAGUUCUUAGAUGUAGGUUCAAUUCCUAUUGUUCUAG